GGUUCCCGGCCCUCCCGGAAGUUGUUGCACAGCCGUUUCCGGGUCGACUUGUACUGGAGGAUUCCAAAUGGGUCGCAGCCGCAGCCGCUCCCCACGGAGGGAGCGUAGGCGGUCUCGGUCCACGUCCCGGGAAAGAGAACGCAGGCGCCGAGAAAGGUCCCGGUCCCGGGAGCGAGAUCGGAGAAGAAGCCGCUCUCGCUCCCCACACAGAAGGCGUUCCAGAUCUCCAAGACGACAUAGAUCCACAUCUCCUUCCCCUUCUCGACUGAAAGAAAGAAGAGAUGAGGAGAAGAAAGAAACAAAAGAAACAAAGAGCAAAGAACGUCAGAUAACUGAGGAAGACUUAGAGGGCAAAACAGAGGAAGAAAUAGAAAUGAUGAAGUUAAUGGGAUUUGCCUCCUUUGACUCCACAAAAGGGAAAAAGGUGGAUGGCUCUGUAAACGCCUAUGCCAUAAAUGUGUCUCAGAAGAGAAAGUAUAGGCAGUACAUGAAUCGAAAAGGUGGAUUCAACAGACCUUUGGAUUUCAUUGCAUGAGCUGAAUUGUUGAAGAAUGAUGUUUUUUCCCUCAUCUUAAGAACAGUGGAUUUUUGUAUUUAAUAUGCAUCAAAAACAGGAUCACAGUCCUUCCUCCUUGUAAAGCUGCUCCUCUCAGAAGACAUAAAUUCUGCCAAAUCUUCUAAGUAUCCAAAUGUCAGAGUGCUCCAGGGCCCAACCCCUAGACUCUCCUGUCUGCCUCUGGUGAGUUAUCCCUUCACAAAGCGUCAAAUGUCUUCUGCCGUGGCUCUCCAUUGUAUACUUCUGGCCUUACUGUUUCACUGAAUUCCAGUCUUGUACAUGCACUUGGAUUAGUAGGCACCUCAAAUUUAAGAUGAAUUGACUUCUCAUUUCCCUGCCCAGUCAUCUUCUCUCAGGCUUCCCCAUCUCAGUGAGUGAACUCUCCAUUUACACCUUUGCACAGAGUGAAACUCCCUAGGCUCAUCCUUCGCUCCUCUCUUUCUUCUGUGCGGCACAUUUGAUUCAUUAGAAAUCCCUUCAGCUCUAAGAGAGUAUAUUUUGAAUCAAACCACUUUUCCCCCCCAUAUUUAUUGGGAUAUAAUUGACAAAUGCAAGUUUAAGAUAUUUAAAGUGUAUAUUGUGGUGAUUAGAUGUACAUCAAAUCUGACCAUUUUUCACCCACCUAUACUAACAGAAGCCAUCUCUAAUAGAUUUCCUUCCUUCCCUUCUGCCUCAGUUUAUUCCCUACCUAGCAGCAGAGUGAACCUUAUAAAUGUACAUCUGGUCAUUGCUUCUGGCUCUGAUGGCUUUCUAUCAUUUAGAGUGAAGACCAGUCCUUACUGUGGGUCAACACAUCUGUAUAGUUUGGACUGUGGCUUCCUGCAGCCUCACCCCUUGCUACUGCAUGCAGCCACACUACUUGCCUUUUUGCUGUUCCUUAAAAAUAGAUAUGCAAAAAAAAAAAAAAA